AGGAACUAAUCAGAAAUUCAGCACGAUCUGAGGAUCCUGCCUAUCUCUCCUUCUGCUGGGCUGCGCUGAGAUAACAAGAAGCAAGGAUGUCAAAUCUCAGGGUACUUUCGACAGAGACAAUGGAUUCAUGUAACCUAGGUCCUUUGAAGCACCAGCAGAAAUUCUUCAUUAUACACAGCCUAAUGGUUUCUCAGGAUGUCAGACGAAUCAGAUCUGCCUCUACAGCUGUACUCAGCUUGGAGGGGAGGACACAGUAUGACAAAUAAAGCAGCAAGGCACGGAAGUGAGCACCACAGACAUCCACCAAAAGAGUGACAGUGCCUCUGGUCAAUGCCAUUAGACUACAGCUCCUGGAAGUCUUUGAAAAGUUUUUCUCCCACAGUGAAAGGGAAUGAGUCACAUCAAAGUUGAAUAAUGCAAGCUAAAAAGCCCCUCUUUUCCUCUUCCACUUCCUAAUUAAGAUUAGUGUGUAAUCUGCAUGAAGAGCGAGGUUCAGCAAAACCAAGCAAUGGAAGUGCUGCAAAUACAGGGCGAGAACAUUUCUUUGCUAAUUGAAGCUUUUCAAGUAGCCUCCACAGGCCACCAAGAGACAAAUUACACUCUGGAUGAGUUGGAUGAGGGAGAUCUCUAAAGACGAAAGUAGGAGAGGGAGAAAGUGAAAAGAAAAUAUUCUGAGGGAUAUUUCUGGUGGGAAAUUUCCAAGUCACUUGUACCAUCCAUACAAACUUUCUAGCUCUACUUGGCCUGAAAUUGGUGAUAUUCACCCUAAAUUUCAGCCUGAACACUCAACGC
rnacentral:lncRNA from 1 species